rnacentral:rRNA from 1 species
AUUGAACGCUGGCGGCAGGCCUAACACAUGCAAGUCGAGCGGAUGAAGGGAGCUUGCUCCUGGAUUCAGCGGCGGACGGGUGAGUAAUGCCUAGGAAUCUGCCUGGUAGUGGGGGAUAACGUCCGGAAACGGGCGCUAAUACCGCAUAAGUCCUGAGGGAGAAAGUGGGGGAUCUUCGGACCUCACGCUCUCAGAUGAGCCUAGGUCGGAUUAGCUAGUUGGUGGGGUAAAGGCCUACCAAGGCGACGAUCCGUAACUGGUCUGAGAGGAUGAUCAGUCACACUGGAACUGAGACACGGUCCAGACUCCUACGGGAGGCAGCAGUGGGGAAUAUUGGACAAUGGGCGAAAGCCUGAUCCAGCCAUGCCGCGUGUGUGAAGAAGGUCUUCGGAUUGUAAAGCACUUUUAGUUGGGAGGAAGAGCAGUAAGUUAAUACCUUGCUGUUUUGACGGUACCAACAGAAUAAGCACCGGCUAACUUCGUG